rnacentral:lncRNA from 1 species
AGUCGGCCUCCUCCCUCCGCGAGCUGGACGCUCCGCAGCCCGCCCGCCAGCCGGCCCGCCGGCCGCCGCAGGAAUCCCUGGAUAAAGACCAGCUCAACCAUCGCUGAGAAAACAGACCUAGGCUUCCCAGGGCGGUUAACCCGCCGGCCUCUGGGCAGAGACUAAAAGACAAAACAAAAUAAAACAACAACAAAAAACUCCCAGUGUGUUUCCUACUCUUCUUUGUCUUGGAGGAAAGCAAAGGGAGAGAAAUGGACUUCACCAGUGGUCUUUGGCUUCAUCAAUUCACAGGAAAUGGCAUCAAGAUGGUUCAACUAAGACAUGAUCACUAAAAACAUUAUAAUAAUACCUUUUUGAAAAACUCAGUUUCUCCUGUUUACUAAAUAUUUAUUUCAUCAACAUGGGCUGCGUUCCACUGUGUCAGGAUUCUGCAUGUGGGUGGAGCACUGUUCCAGCCUGAGAAGAUGGUUCUGAGGCCACUUAGCAAGACAUUUUCCAGCAUGAGCAGGUUUCUCUGUGGAAAUAGUGACACCUGUUCUGGUGUGUUGUCUUUCCUCAGGGAACUUAAGGGGUACAAAGCUCCUGAAAAUGUUCUUUAUGCUGGUUGAAGCUCUUAUGUCGCUGUACUGAUUCCCUACGAUGCAGAUUUGAAUCACAGAGUAAUUAAAAUAUGGAUCAAAUAAGGCUGGGGCUCACCAAGGCUGAAAGCUGUAGCCAUUCAAGGCAUCAUUUCUGUCAUGAAAAUAUAGGACCUUUUCAAAACAUGCCUUCAGGAAGGUGUUCUCUUUUCAAACAAAAGUCUAAUGACUGCAUAACUCUUCUUGACCACAUCUUACACUUUCUCUAGACUUGCUUAUUUACAGCUACUGGAACAAAAAGAUGAAAUGAAUAAAGCACACUGAUUGUCCUAAGAGUCUUCUGUGACUAAAAGCACAUGAGCUUCUCCCCAGGCUGAGCUUUGACCCUCCCAAGCAUUUCCCCAAAGGCCAUGACACUGCAUCAGAUUGCUCCUGGACACUUUCCUCAGAGUUUUCAACAAAUAUAAACUGAGGAGUGGAGCACAGCACCAGAUUUGCUAAUCAAGAGGCAAUGGUCCCAGUCCAAAUGGGUGCUGUGUGUGAAUACAGAGCCCAGGAGAAGGGAAGGAGGUCUGUGAACAUCAGGAAUUGCAAAAUCUUGCUGAACCAAUAGACCAACAGCCAUUAACAUUUGUCAAUGCAAAGAUCCUAAAAUAUACAAGUGUGGAGUUGUCCUGCCCUAAGAGCUGAAGCUGUGACAAUCACGCUGCCAUGGUAGAUAUUUAAGCUCCCCUGAGGUUACUGAAUCUAACAAUGAAUAAACAAUGAAGAGUA